AUAAAAAGGAUUUUUUUUUCACUGAAAUCUUGAAAACAGCUGGCUGUAAUAUUGGAAGGAGUUUAUUUUUUCAAUGCUUGUAGACUCCGACUUGCAUUUUACUUUCAUUGCCAUUUUACAGGCCAAAUGACAUAGGAUGAAGGCUGUUCGUAACCUGCUGAUUUAUAUAUUUUCCACCUAUCUCCUGGUUAUGUUUGGAUUUAAUGCUGCCCAAGACUUUUGGUGUUCAACUUUGGUGAAGGGAGUCAUUUAUGGAUCGUACUCUGUAAGUGAAAUGUUUCCCAAAAACUUUACAAACUGCACUUGGACGCUGGAAAAUCCAGAUCCAACCAAAUAUAGCAUUUACCUGAAAUUUUCCAAAAAGGACCUUAGCUGCUCUAACUUUUCCCUCCUGGCUUACCAGUUUGAUCAUUUUUCCCAUGAAAAAAUAAAGGAUCUUUUAAGAAAGAAUCAUUCUAUAAUGCAACUCUGCAAUUCCAAGAAUGCUUUUGUUUUUCUACAAUAUGAUAAAAAUUUUAUUCAAAUACGUCGGGUAUUUCCAUCUGAUUUCCCAGGAUUACAGAAAAAAGGGGAAGAAGAUCAGAAAUCUUUUUUUGAGUUUUUGGUAUUGAACAAAGUGAGCCCAAGCCAGUUUGGUUGCCAUGUAUUAUGCACUUGGUUGGAGAGCUGCUUAAAAUCAGAAAAUGGGAGAACAGAAUCAUGUGGGAUCAUGUAUACAAAAUGCACCUGCCCUCAGCAUUUGGGAGAGUGGGGGAUCGAUGACCAGUCCCUGGUUUUGUUAAAUAACGUCGUGUUGCCCUUGAAUGAGCAGACAGAGGGCUGCCUGACCCAGGAGCUGCAAACCACUCAAGUCUGCAA
rnacentral:lncRNA from 1 species